rnacentral:lncRNA from 1 species
UUUGAGGCAGCAGGUCCCAUAUCUUGGUCUGUAGUGGAAGAGUGUGGUAGAAGGAUAAUGCUUGGGGUGUCCUGCGGGGGCGGGGCCAUCUGAGAUGAUGCUUUAGCAGCAGCAGCUAUAAUAUUGGAAGCAGGGUUGGCCAUCAAGUUCUCUGUCUCGCCUUGAAUCACCUUCAGUCUCCUGGCCGCGCUCUCUUUAGAGUCCGCACAGUGUAUGUACUGUAAGGUGACAUCUCUUAGCUCCCCGAGUACUUCUUCAGUAGAUGGUACAACUAGUUGCUUAGAGAAAGCACUUUCAUGCAGGUUUCGCUCCAGAGGGGGAACUGGUGUAGAGGGAGACUGUCGACGUGGAGGUGGUGGUGGGAGACGAGGAGAGUUUGAUCGAUUACGAACCCUCCAUUGCAGCUGAGAGUGAUUAGACGGUACACCUUUGGCAGUACGAGAAUGGUACCUCUCCGAUUGAUAGUGAGUAGGAGCUUUAGGUAGAGCAGCGGGAGAGUAGCUAGG